CAGAUCCUAGACCUGCAGAGGUGAGGAAGAGGAGAGACAGAUCCUAGACCUGCAGAGGUGAGGAAGAGGGGAGACAGAUCCUAGACCUGCAGAGGUGAGGAAGAGGGGAGACAGAUCCUAGACCUGCAGAGGUGAGGAAGAGGGGAGACAGAUCCUAGACCUGCAGAGGUGAGGAAGAGGAGAGACAGAUCCUAGACCUGUAGAGGUGAGGAAGAGGAGAGACAGAUCCUAGACCUGUAGAGGUGAGGAAGAGGAGAGACAGAUCCUAGACCUGCAGAGGUGAGGAAGAGGAGAGACAGCUUGAUUGUUUAGGUAAUCGGGUGUGUUUUAGUGCUGGGUUGCAACAAAACCCUGCAGCUCUCCAGUGGGACGAGGAGUCAGACCGUUGUAGAAACUUGACCUUAGUUUUAAAUACACAUUUCAGCUAAAGAAUUAAACUCUAUUGUUGUGUUGCUUUAUAGAAGAAUAGGUGGUGUGUGUGUGUGGUGUGUGUGUGGUGUGUGUGGUGUGUGUGUGUGUGUGUCUGUGUGUGUGUGUGUGUGUGUGUGUGUCUGUGUGUGUGUGUGUGUGUGUGUAGGUCUCUGAGGUCCUCUCUUCUUGUUUCAGGUAAAGAGCAGAUCUCUGCAGCCCAGAUCAAGAUCCUAAAGAAACACUCUGAAGCUCUUCAGGUCUCCCCCAUCUCUCCCUCCACCCCUCUCUCUCUCCCCUCUCUCUCUCUCUCUCUCUCUCUGUAAUCUCCUCUCUCUAAUCCUCUCUCUCUCUCUAAUCCUCUCUCUCUCUCUCUAAUCCUCUCUCUCUCUCUAAUCUCUCUCUCUCUCUCUAAUCCUCUCUCUCUCUCUCUAAUCCUCUCUCUCUCUCUCUCUCUGUAAUCUCCUCUCUCUCUCUAAUCCUCUCUCUCUCUCUCUCUCUCUCUCUGUAAUCUCCUCUCUCUCUCUCUAAUCCUCUCUCUCUCUCUCUAAUCCUCUCUCUCUCUCUCUAAUCCUCUCUCUCUCUGUAAUCUCCUCUCUCUCUCUCUAAUCCUCUCUCUCUCUCUCUGUAAUCUCCUCUCUCUCUCUCUCUAAUCCUCUCUCUCUCUCUCUCUCUCUCUGUAAUCUCCUCUCUCUCUCUCUCCCCCCCCCCCUCUCUCUCUCCUCCCUCCUCUCUCAGGCCUUGUAGUCCUGGUCUGAAGCUCCUUGUUCCUGUUAAUCUCCAAAACAUUGUUUGCUCUUUAUCUUUUGUGGAGCAGUUUGUUUUUAAAAGAAAUAUUUCCAAACCGUUUUAAUCUGGUUUUGAUGACAAAAACACGUUUUUGCUAAUUAAAUUCCCCCAGGAUAUCUUGCCUCUUCCUCCUGUCUGCUGGCCUCUUCUUCCUCUGUCCCCUCCUUCCUGUCUCUCUCCCAACUGUGUGUCUAUUUUAUAUAGUUUCAAACACUUUCUUUCUCACACUUGUUAGAGAGAGAUAGAGAGGGGGAGGGAAGGAAGGAAGGAGAGAGAGGGAAGGAAGGGGAGAGGGAGGGAAGGAAGGAAGGGGAGAGGGAGGGAAGGAAGGAAGGGGAGAGAGAGAGGGAAGGAAGGGGAGAGAGAGAGGGAAGAAAGGGGAGAGAGGGAAGGAAGGAAGGAGAGAGGGAAGGAAGGAGAGAGGGAGGAGGGAGGGAAGGGAGGAGGGAAGGAAGGAGAGAGGGAAGGAAGGAAGGAGAGAGGGAGGGAUAUGGGCACUUUUCGGAAAAAGCGGUGUUCAAGCAGGGGUUAACUGAUGAAUAGACAAACAUGACUUAUUAUUUUCCUUUCGAUCUUUUUAGCAGUCAAACAUUGAAAUUAAAAUUUGUAUUGAAAUGUUAAGUCUGUUGGUUAAUUACUUGGAGGAGGGAGGAGAGGAGAGGAGAGGAGAGGAAGGCUUCAGUGUUACAGCAUCUUCUACACAUUUGGUCUGAGAAGUUCCAUCGGGGCUCCCAGCUGAUCUGUGAUCGCUUGCUCUCCCCUGGCCUUCCAUCCACGUUCCACUUCCUCUUCCUCUUCCUCACGCCUUACGGUCAAUGUUUCUUCUUGCUUGUUUUGAAUAAAGGAAGUCUUUUAAAAAAAAUAAAACAGUUUAGGAGAGAAAAAUAAAAGUACUGCAUUUCUCUUUUCCAAACUUGCCAGUUUCAUUUCUAUAUUUUAGUCGGAAAGCGUUUUUUU
rnacentral:lncRNA from 1 species